GCGGCUAUGGUGUAACGGUUAACACUGGGGCUUGUGGAGCCCUCGAUCAGGGUUCAAUUCCCUGUAGCCGCCCCA
rnacentral:tRNA from 1 species